GGUGGCUCAGUGGUAGAACACUUGCCUGGCAUGCAUGAGGUCCUGGGUUCGAUUCCUCAGCACCA
rnacentral:tRNA from 1 species